UACGAAGGGGGCUAGCGUUGCUCGGAAUUACUGGGCGUAAAGGGCGCGUAGGCGGACAGUUUAGUCAGAGGUGAAAGCCCAGGGCUCAACCUUGGAAUAGCCUUUGAUACUGGCUGUCUUGAGUUCGGGAGAGGUGAGUGGAAUGCCGAGUGUAGAGGUGAAAUUCGUAGAUAUUCGGCGGAACACCAGUGGCGAAGGCGACUCACUGGCCCGAUACUGACGCUGAGACGCGAAAGCUAGGGGAGCGAACAGG
rnacentral:rRNA from 1 species